GAUUAGGGUAAUAUAUAAAUUGCAAGGACUGGCAUUGGUUAGGAUGACUCCCUACCCUUACAAAACACAAACAUACACAGACACAACCUAACUCCCCCAGCAUACCAAAAUGACAAAGGAAAAAAGAAUCACAAUGACAGAAAUGACAGGGUGACAUAUGGAACAGAAAGACACAUUAUAAUCUGGAAGACAUGUAGUGGAUUGCCCAUAGGGAAGACUUGUAUUUUCAGCAGUG
rnacentral:lncRNA from 1 species